ensembl:snoRNA
CUGCAUGUUUCCAAGUUUAUGCCUGGUAGUAACACCAUGGGAUCUCCAACUGCAUGGAGGAAUGAACCGAAGAGACUCUGACAGCACAGGUCAGCAUAAUACCUGUAACUGUCACUCACUAUUCCUGUAUUU